GGAUUCCUACGGGACGCAGCAGUGAGGAAUAUUGGUCAAUGGGAGGAAUCCUGAACCAGCCAUGCCGCGCGCAGGACGACGGCUCUAUGAGUUGUAAACUGCUUUUGUACGAGGGUAAACGCAGAUACGUGUAUCUGUCUGAAAGUAUCGUACGAAUAAGGAUCGGCUAACUCCGUGCCAGCAGCCGCGGUAAUACGGAGGAUUCAAGCGUUAUCCGGAUUUAUUGGGUUUAAAGGGUGCGUAGGCGGUCGGAUAAGUUAGAGGUGAAAUCCCGAGGCUCAACUUCGGAAUUGCCUCUGAUACUG
rnacentral:rRNA from 1 species